GGAUUAGAUACCCGGGUAGUCCAUGCCGUAAACGUUGGGAACUAGAUGUGGGGGCCAUUCCACGGCUUCCGUGUCGCAGCUAACGCAUUAAGUUCCCCGCCUGGGGAGUACGGCCGCAAGGCUAAAACUCAAAGGAAUUGACGGGGGCCCGCACAAGCGGCGGAGCAUGCUGAUUAAUUCGAUGCAACGCGAAGAACCUUACCAAGGCUUGACAUAUACCGGAAACGGCUGGAAACAGUCGCCCCGCAAGGUCGGUAUACAGGUGGUGCAUGGUUGUCGUCAGCUCGUGUCGUGAGAUGUUGGGUUAAGUCCCGCAACGAGCGCAACCCUCGUUCUAUGUUGCCAGCACGUAAUGGUGGGAACUCAUAGGAGACUGCCGGGGUCAACUCGGAGG
rnacentral:rRNA from 1 species